GACGAACGCUGGCGGCGUGCUUAACACAUGCCAGUCGAACGGAAAGGCCCUGCUUUUGUGGGGUGCUCGAGUGGCGAAAGGGUGAGUAACACGUGAGUAACCUGCCCUUGACUUUGGGAUAACUUCAGGAAACUGGGGCUAAUACCGGAUAGGAGCUCCUGCUGCAUGGUGGGGGUUGGAAAGUUUCGGCGGUUGGGGAUGGACUCGCGGCUUAGCAGCUUGUUGGUGGGGUAGUGGCUUACAAAGGCUUUGACGGGUAGCCGGCCUGAGAGGGUGACCGGCCACAUUGGGACUGAGAUACGGCCCAGACUCCUACGGGAGGCAGCAGUGGGGAAUAUUGCACAAUGGGCGGAAGCCUGAUGCAGCAACGCCGCGUGCGGGAUGACGGCCUUCGGGUUGUAAACCGCUUUCGCCUGUGACGAAGCGUGAGUGACGGUAAUGGGUAAAGAAGCACCGGCUAACUACGUG
rnacentral:rRNA from 1 species